GUGCUUGCUUUGGCAACACAUAUACUAAAAUUGGAACAAUACAGAGAAAAUUAGCAUAGCCCCUGCACAAGGAUGACACGUAAAAUAAGUGA
rnacentral:snRNA from 1 species